GGGUCCAUGGUAUAAUGGUUAGCACAAGGAACUAUGAAUUCAACAGUCCGAGUUCGUGUCUCGGUGGGACCU